UGGGUCUGCAGCAGGACCCAAGGGUGGGGUUGUUCGCCCAUUAAAAGGGAUCGUGAGAUGGGUUUAGACCGUCGUGAGACAGGUUUGUUGCUUGGUGGUUGAAGUGUUUAGUGUCUGAUGGAAGAGGCCCUUCAGUACGAGAGGAACGAGGGCUUGGGGCCACUAGUUUACCAGUUGUCUGACAAGGCAAUGCUGGGUAGCCACGCCCUGAUGGAUAAGAGCUGAAAGCAUCUAAGCUCGAAACCACCCCAUAAACGAGACACAUAUUUCAUAACUCGUAAAAGACGAGAUUGAUAGACUGCGGAUGUAAGCACGAAGCUUCGGCGACGUGUUCAGUCCAGCAGCACUAAUUAUGACGCAACUACUUUU
rnacentral:ncRNA from 1 species